CCAAGUGUUUGCACCAGGAUUGUUGCAGUUUACCAUCAGCAGGCCUUAACAACUUGUAUAAACAACCGGUCUGAACAACUACUAAGAAACUGAAUCAUUUUUUUCUAUGGAAUUUCUUUGUCCAUUUUCAAACGUUCCAGAUUUGACUAUAUAUUAUGGGUAUUUUGGAGGGGAUUUGAUUUAAAGGAACAACUUUCAUAAACAUUAUAGAAAUACUAUGGAAGAAAGCAUUGUAAUGCAAUAUAAUGAUAUGAUAACAACUGUCCAAGUUUGAACUGAUGAACUUCUCGCAUUCACUAACAAUUUUACCUGCAAAAGAUAACAUUUAAUCAAUGCC